AGACAAGAUGGCGACGUCCGUGGGGCACCGAUGCCUGGGAUUACUGCACGGGGUCGCGCCGUGGCGGAGCAGCCUCCAUCCCUGUGAGAUCACUGCCCUGAGCCAAUCCCUACAGCCCUUACGGAAGCUGCCUUUUAGAGCCUUUCGCACAGAUGCCAGAAAAAUCCACACUGCCCCUGCCCGAACCAUGUUCCUGCUGCGUCCCCUGCCCAUUCUGUUGGCGACAGGCGGCGGGUAUGCAGGGUACCGGCAGUAUGAGAAAUACAGGGAGCGAGAGCUGGAGAAGCUGGGAUUGGAGAUUCCACCCAAACUUGCUGGUCACUGGGAGGUGGCUUUGUACAAGUCAGUGCCAACGCGCUUGCUGUCACGGGCCUGGGGUCGCCUCAAUCAGGUGGAGCUGCCACACUGGCUGCGCAGGCCCGUCUACAGCCUGUACAUCUGGACGUUUGGGGUGAACAUGAAAGAGGCCGCUGUGGAGGACCUGCAUCACUACCGCAACCUCAGCGAGUUCUUCCGGCGCAAGCUGAAGCCGCAGGCCCGGCCUGUCUGUGGCCUGCACAGCGUGGUGAGGCCUGACCCUUUCCUCCUGCAGGAAACAGGACUUUUUCCUGCCUCCCCAGCACAGCCCCCCCGGUCUCCAGCGUAUCUGGAAGGGGCAGGAUGACAAGGGGAGGUGGGAGCUGUCUCCUGGGGGGAGGAGACCCUGCUCUCCCUGGCAGCAAGCCUCUCCUGCCCUUCCAGAUUAGCCCAUCGGAUGGAAGGAUCCUCAACUUUGGGCAGGUGAAGAACUGCGAGGUGGAGCAGGUAAAGGGGGUCACCUACUCCCUGGAGUCGUUCCUGGGCCCGCGUACCUGCACAGAGGACCUGCCCUUCCCACCAGCUGCGUCGUGUGACUCCUUCAAGAACCAGCUGGUCACCCGGGAAGGGAAUGAGCUCUAUCACUGUGUCAUCUACCUGGCCCCUGGGGACUACCACUGCUUCCACUCCCCCACCGACUGGACUGUGUCCCACCGGCGCCACUUCCCAGGCUCCCUGAUGUCAGUGAACCCUGGCAUGGCUCGCUGGAUCAAAGAGCUCUUCUGCCAUAACGAGCGGGUAGUCCUGACGGGGGACUGGAAACAUGGCUUCUUCUCACUGACAGCUGUGGGGGCCACCAACGUGGGCUCCAUUCGCAUCUACUUUGACCGGGACCUGCACACAAACAGCCCAAGGCACAGCAAGGGCUCCUACAAUGACUUCAGCUUCGUGACGCACACCAAUAGAGAGGGCGUCCCCAUGCGUAAGGGCGAGCACCUGGGCGAGUUCAACCUGGGCUCCACCAUCGUGCUCAUCUUUGAGGCCCCCAAGGACUUCAAUUUCCAGCUGAAAACAGGACAGAAAAUCCGCUUUGGGGAAGCCCUGGGCUCGCUCUAGAGUCUCUUUCCUGAUUAUGGCUGCUAAGGGAUCUUUUCCAAACAGAGUGAGGGUCUUUUCAAGAGGGAGGCCCAUGGGGCCAUCCAGGUGAGGGCCUGCCUCAGCGUGGGUGGGAGUCUGACCAGGUAGGACUUGAAUGAUUCGGCUCCACCUGUUCCAGAGGUGCAGACAAGAGGUGGUGAGAGCCCCCGUCAUGCCCUCAACCUAUCCCGUUCCUUCUCCCUACAAAUAAAAAGUGCAGGCUGGAAUGAUCUCAGUCACAUUUGGAUCUUUUUAAACACUGUAUAGACGGAAGAUCCUGCAUUCCUGACUGAACCUUCAGUUGGUCUUGGUUGUCGUUUUUUCUUGCUGCUCCUCCCCCCAUCACCUGAGCUGUUUUCUGUUGGCCCCUUUUGUUUUUUGGCCUUAACGCUCCUGCUGCACAGGGUGAGGUGCCUCCUUGGCACAGACUGUGGAUGCCUCUCCCCCAGCAGAGCCACACAGCCUUCGUGACAACUGCUUUCCGUUCCCACAUUCACCUCAUCCUGCUCUUUAAAAAAGCAGUCUUUGUGCUUGUGGCUGAACGCAUCACCCUGGACUCUGCUAGUGUCUUCUGAGGACACUGAUGACACUGAUUAAUGAUACAGACCUUUGCAGGACCUGAUGAGUGACCCUUCUGGAGCUGGCCAGGUCCUCUGCAGCAGGCAAGACCAAUCAAUCACUGAACCUGCCUCAUGGCACCAGAGUGAACAGGGCAGGCAGGUAGUAGGCCCAGCUGGGGAAACGGGAGAGUUCCUGUCCCCCUCCACAUAUCCCUACAUGAAAUAUGGGAAAGUUGCUGCUAUUGAUUCAGGGUCUGUCUUGGAGGCAGAGGACCCUUGGUGGAUAGUUGGUCAGUGCCUGGAAAACCUGUCCCAGUUAUCAGGAACGCAGGCCUGGGGAGCCCCCAGUGGCAGGGACAGGGCCAGAUUUCAUGUUGACCCUGGGGAUGCUGUGAAUUUCUCCUGCAGGAGAGACAUCAUUGAAUUUUUUCAACUGUAUCAGUAGCACAGUAUUUUUGUAUGAAAAGUGGGAGACUUCUGAACAGUAAUUCAUUUAAUUGCAAAGCAUUUUGAAAUAAAAAAAUCAAACUUAAAA
rnacentral:sRNA from 1 species